rnacentral:rRNA from 2 species
GGAUGCGAUCAUACCAGCACUAAAGCACCGGAUCCCAUCAGAACUCCAAAGUUAAGUGUGCUUGGGCGAGAGUAGUACUAGGAUGGGUGACCUCCUGGGAAGUCCUGGUGCUGCAUUCC